rnacentral:piRNA from 1 species
UCUUUACCUGGUGACCUAGCACUGAACC